UACGUAGGGUGCGAGCGUUAAUCGGAAUUACUGGGCGUAAAGUGUGCGCAGGCGGCCGCGCAAGUCGAGUGUGAAAGCCCCGAGCUUAACUUGGGAACUGCGCUCGAAACUACGUGGCUGGAGUGUGGCAGAGGAGGGUGGAAUUCCAGGUGUAGCGGUGAAAUGCGUAGAGAUCUGGAGGAACACCGAUGGCGAAGGCAGCCUUCUGGGCCAACACUGACGCUCACGCACGAAAGCGUGGGGAGCAAACAGG
rnacentral:rRNA from 1 species